GUUCACAUCACUUUUCCAUUAAGUCACCGUGUUCUUCUUCGCCCUGUCAAAACGGAGGCACCUGUGUGGCGAACUACAAAUAUGACACAUUUGAAUGCCUUUGUAGGAACGAUUUCUCCGGAAAAAGUUGUGAAAAAGGUCUCGAGUCUUGCAAGAAACUCUAUGAUACAUACAAGUAAGUCAUAAACGACUGGGCAAAACUGUUCAAAUCGCGUGAAGACCAUUUCUGCAAAGUUUAUUUCCUGAGUGAUCAAGUCGUCAGGGGGACAUUAAAAAACUCUAGAAACAUUAAAACUGUGGUUAAUGAAUCGUUCUCUAUAUAAUAGUUUUAAAAAA